rnacentral:rRNA from 1 species
UGUUUGGAGAGUUUGAUCCUGGCUCAGGACAAACGCUGGCGGCGUGCUUAAUACAUGCAAGUCGAACGGUCUCACUUCGGUGAGAUAGUGGCGGACGGGUGAGUAACACGUAGGUAACCUGC